rnacentral:rRNA from 1 species
GACGAACCGUGCGAACGUUGUUCGGAAUCACUGGGCUUAAAGGGUGCGUAGGCGGGCUAACAAGUCUGGGGUGAAAUGCCGCGGCUCAACCGUGGAACUGCCUCAGAUACUGUCGGCCUCGAGGGAGAUAGGGGCAUGCGGAACUGUAGGUGGAGCGGUGAAAUGCGUUGAUAUCUACAGGAACUCCGGUGGCGAAAGCGGCGUGCUGGAUCUCUUCUGACGCUGAGGCUCGAAAGCUAGGGGAGCAAACGGG